rnacentral:rRNA from 1 species
UGUGCCUUUAGAGAAGAGGAACUACCCAGUUAACCAUUCCGAACCUGGAAGUCAAGCUCUUCAUCGCUGAUAAUACUGCUCUUUCAAGAGUGGGA